GAAAGAGAAGCGGAAUGCAGGGAGGGCGCAUGCGCGGGAGCCCGCUGCUGAGUGUCUUGUGUUUUGAGCGAAACCUGUGGAUGCAGCCAAGGAGUUGGCUGGGAAGUGGGAUGGUAACGUGGGACAUACAGAAAUCUGGCUGUGUGGGAACCAACCGGAUCGUGCUCGUCCUGUCAGCUUAGCGGGGUCGGAGAUGUUGCUGCCUGCUGCAGCCAUCUCAGCAUCCCGAGGAUGCUAGAAGCGGGAAGGAGGGACAAACGAGUUCUUGGCUUCCAUGCGGACGGUUUUAGGACUAGCCAGUUUAUGAAGCAGAAUUGAAGGUUUGGUUGAUUGAUUGAUUGAUUGAUUGAUUAAUUGAUUUUUCGAGACAGGGUUUCUCUGUGUAACCCUGGCUGUCCCGGAGCUCACUCUGUAGACCAGGCUGGCCUCGAACUCGGAAAUCUGCCUGCCUCUGCCUCCCAAAUGCUGGGAUUAAAGGCGUGUGUCACCACCGCCCGGCUCUGAAGGUUUUAUUAACGAUUACUUAAAUGGAAGCGUAUCCCUGAGAGAGUCAUAAGAGACGAGUACACAAAGUAUACACAAAGGAGUUUAGUACACGUCCUUUCUGUUAGAUUUCUGAGGCAGUUCAAAGGAACAGACAGGGAGCAAAAGAGAGAUGGGAGCCUGACCUCUUAACAGUCAGGACUGUGAUUACUGGUGCGCACAGCAGGGGGCACAGUCCUCCUCCUGGAAGUUGGACUCCUCUACCAGAGGAAAAAGCUGGCUUCGAGGAGCCUAUAUAGUAAGGGUGUUAAGAAUGCAGAAAUAUGGGGGGAGAGGCCUCAGGCCACUUCCCAUUUCGUUUUAUGAAGUUAUCUAAAUCAAUUUAGAUAUUAAAAUCAAAACUUCCAAGUUUUGGCCAGCAGUAGCCUUUGUCCAAUGUGCAUGGAGGCUAGAUUGGGACCAAGAGCUGAGCAAGUUAGUGUCUUGAGGUCUCCCCAUAGAGAGCUCUUUUAGAUUAGCCUUCAGCCAGGCUAAUGGUAUGUCCUUUGGAAUGGACAGUUUGGAACCCAUGGCAGGCGUGCAACCAAGGUAAAAACAUGGGUUAAAUUGAGUCACCCAGGGGUAUCCCUCAGAUUUUCGAUUAACCAAAUGUAAUGAGCAUAUUUAAAAAAAAAAAAAGCCGGUAAACCUGAAAAAAAUAGCUUAGUUAGGAACUCCACUACACCCAGUGCUGCACCUGAUAACCAGAACCCAGUGACCCAAGAUAACCAGACACAGCCCUAGAACCCCAUGGCCUCCACUGGACAGUACCUAAACAGAGACAAGAGCAAUGCUCUGCACAUCUGGAGAGACCUUCAUCGGCCCUGCAGCUGGACAGUCUUCCCCAGGAUCCUGACCCUUGAAUCAGAGGCCACUAUUAGAGACUGCACCUGACCUUUUGCUAAUAUGUCAUACAGGUGAGCAGCCUAAUACAACAUACCUUGCUAUACCAACUACCUGUGUCUACAUUCUUGCUCACAAUAAACAUGCUUCAAAAGGAGAGUGAGGGGCUGGAGAGAUAGCUCAGAGGUUAAGAGCACUGACUGCUCUUGCAGAGGUCCUGAGUUCAAUUCCCAGCAACCACAUCAUGGCUCACAACCAUCUGUAAUGGGAUCUGAUGCCCUCUUCUGGUGUGUCUGAAGAUAGCUACAGUGUACUCGUAUACAUAAAAUAAAUAAAUAAGUU
rnacentral:lncRNA from 1 species